ensembl:ncRNA B0280.22 ncRNA
GCAUUACAAACGGCUUUACUAGAACAGUGACCACGUUGAAACGCAACUGCCAUGGCUUCGAUGGCAAAAUUCCUUUUCUUGUUUGACUUGAGUCUUUCUUCUUUUCCUGAACAUAUCGUUCUCCGCCAAGCAGAAAUCCUUCUCCUUCAGCCCAUUGAAAUCUCUGAAACUAUGAUUUGAGUUUAUAACUUACAGGAAUUAUUUACCUCCCAAAUACUAUUCAAAGAAUUUACACCUGGCUUAAUCUCUACGAUUUCGGCGGAAAAGUUUGUUCGUUUUCCAGUGACUUUAUCAAAUUGUAUUCUUCCAGUUAAUGUCCCAUCUUUAUCCGUGAGAACAACUUUUUUGAUAGCUUCCGCAAUUUUUUUUCCAUGUUCAAAUGUUUCAAAUUGACGAGAUUCAGUUUGAUCUUCAUGAGGACGGCAAUAUAAUCCUUUUCUCCCACGAUUAAAUAAUUGAUGACGUACAAAUGAUCUAAAUAUAUGGAUGAUUUUUUAUGCAGUUUUUAAAAUCUUUAAUUUUUCGCAGAAAUAUAAAUAUAAAUAAGCUU